GCCCCACGGGGUGAGUAGAGCGGCGGACGGGUGAGUAACGCGUAGGAAUCUACCCAGUAGUGGGGGACAACUAGCGGAAACGCUAGCUAAUACCGCAUACGCCCUACGGGGGAAAGCGGGGGACCUUUGGGCCUCGCGCUAUUGGAUGAGCCUGCGUAAGAUUAGCUUGUUGGUGAGGUAAUAGCUCACCAAGGCGACGAUCUUUAGCUGGUCUGAGAGGAUGAUCAGCCACACCGGGACUGAGACACGGCCCGGACUCCUACGGGAGGCAGCAGUCGGGAAUAUUGCGCAAUGGGGGAAACCCUGACGCAGCCAUGCCGCGUGUGUGAAGAAGGCCCUAGGGGUUGUAAAGCACUUUCAAUUGGGAGGAAAAGCUAAUGGUUAAUAACCAUUAGCCCUGACGUUACCUUUAGAAGAAGCACCGGCUAACUCCGUGCCAGCAGCCGCGGUAAUACGGAGGGUGCAAGCGUUAAUCGGAAUUACUGGGCGUAAAGCGCGCGUAGGCGGUUUUUUAAGUCGGAUGUGAAAGCCCCGGGCUCAACCUGGGAACUGCAUCCGAUACUGGAAGACUAGAAUGCGGGAGAGGGAGGUAGAAUUCCAUGUGUAGCAGUGAAAUGCGUAGAUAUAUGGAGGAAUACCAGUGGCGAAGGCGGCCUCCUGGCUCGACAUUGACGCUAAGGUGCGAAAGCGUGGGGAGCAAACGGGGAUUAGAUACCCCGGUAGUCCACGCCGUAAACGAUGUCUACUANCUGUAGGGGUACUUGAGACCUUUGUA
rnacentral:rRNA from 1 species